rnacentral:misc_RNA from 1 species
GAUGAAGAACGUAGCGAAAUGCGAUAAGUAAUGUGAAUUGCAGAAUUCAGUGAAUCAUCGAAUCUUUGAACGCACAUUGCGCCCGCCAGUAUUCUGGCGGGCAUGCCUGUUCGAGCGUCAUUUCAACCAUCAAGCCCCCGGCUUGUGUUGGGGACCUGCGGCUGCCGCAGGCCCUGAAAAGCAGUGGCGGGCUCGCUGUCACACCGAGCGUAGUAGCAUACAUCUCGCUCUGGGCGUGCUGCGGGUUCCGGCCGUUAAACCACCUUCAUAACCCAAGGCUGACCUCGGAUCAGGUAGGAAGACCCGCUGAACUUAAGCAUAUCAAUAAGCGGAGGA